UCCCUGGUGGCUCAGAUGGUAAAGCAUCUGCUUCCAAUGCAGGAGACCCGGGUUCGAUCCCUGGGUUUGGAA
rnacentral:tRNA from 1 species